UACGGUAGGGGCAAGCGUUGUUCGGAAUUACUGGGCGUAAAGGGCGCGUAGGCGGCACAGCAAGUCGGGAGUGAAAGCCCGGGGCUCAACCCCGGAACUGCUUUCGAAACUGCUGAGCUAGAGUACAGGAAGGGGCAACCGGAAUUCCCAGUUGUAGCGGUGGAAAUGACGUAGAUAUUGGGAAGAACACCUGAGGCGAAGGCGGGUUGCUGGGCUGAUACUGACGCGUGAGGC
rnacentral:rRNA from 1 species